GUCCUACAAAGUUACCGAAUUCUUCGAUGACAUGAUUCUAAAAGGAUAAUUCACACUGUAGACAUGAUGUGUGGUGUCUCGGGUUUAGGUAUUUUAUGUCAUCUAUAAUUUAGAAGUAACUUGUGGAAGACGCUGCUGAGGGCAGCUUGUGGAUGAUCAGCUGAGGAGAGUUUGAAUGAAAAGUUUGUUACCAGGUGAAAGUUGCUCCUGUACACUGGAUUAAUCCCGCACUGUUCACUGGACCGGACCGAUGAAGAGCUUAUUCUCACUUACAGCAUGCUUUAUUUAUGUUACUGCAGACACACACUCUCUGCGGAUCCUCUACAUCUCCGUCACACCCGGACACGCUGGUUUCCCAGAGUUCAUGGCUGUGGGUCUGCUGGAUGGAGAGCAGUUUAUGUCCUACAGCAGCAGCAACCGUACGCUGAUCCCAAAGGACUGGAUAAAGAAGAUUGAGAAUGAACCUUCUUGGAAGAGUGAGACUCGGAGCAUUGAGAACAAUGAGGAUGAUUUUAACACCACAUUCACAACAGCACUGAAAGAGUUUAAUAACAGUAAAGGUAUUCACACACUACAGAGGAUGUUCGGCUGUGAGCUGGAUGAUAACGGCACCACUAGUGGCUACGAUCAAUACGCUUAUGAUGGAGAAGAUUUCAUCAGUCUAGAUCUCAGAACUGGAACGUGGGCUGCAGCUAAACCUCAAGCUGUGAUCAUCAUACAGAAGUGGAAGGAUACACAUUACGGGAAACACCAGAAGCACUACAUGGAGAACGGGUGUAUUGACUUGAUGAAGCUGUUAAAGGCUCAUUGCAGAGAGACUCUUGAACGAAAAGUUCAUCCCGAGGUGUCAGUGUUCCAGAAACACUCUCCUUCCCCAGAGGUGGUGUGUCACGCUACAGGUUUCUUCCCCAAAGCACUACACAUCACCUGGCAGAAGGACGGAGAGGACGUGGAGAAGGAUGUGAUGAUCAGUGAGAUGUUACACAACCAGGAUGGAAGUUUCCAGAGGAGAAUCAUUCUGAAAGUCCCAGCUGAGGAGCUGCAGAAACACACCUACACCUGCGUGGUUCAGCACAGCAGCUUGGAGAAGGAGUUAGUGCGAGAAGUACCAAAAGGUGGAGGAUCAGAUGGAGGAUCAGGUGGAGCACCCAUUGCCAUCAUCGCUGCUGUAGUCGUGUCUCUCGUUGCUCUCGUUGCUCUCGUCGCCGUUGUUGCUGGAGUUGUGGUCUGGAAGAAGAAGAACUCUGGUGAGUGGAGGUUUGAGGCAGAUGUGAGGGUUUUACGGAAUGGGUCACUUACCAUCUCUAGUUCAAGGUUUCAACCUGUUGCACAAAACUCCACUGACAGAGACACAAGGAGAGUGAGGAAAUUUGCAGUGCAAAGAUUUUUAACAUUCUGUAAAGACAUUGGAUGGACAGACGACUGUAGGACAAACCUUUACUGCACUGCUGUCAAUGAAGAAUGUUUUGUGAAAAGAUCAAUCUGAGCUCCUGACAAGGACACGAUUGCUGGAGGUACAUCGUCCAGAUAGAUCUUCAUCACUUCGGACUCACGAUUCCGGACUGAAUUAUGUGUGUAGUAAUAUAUCAGGACAGUUGAAUUGUAAUAUUAAUAUAUACAUUUUUUAUUCAUUGUUUACAUGCAAAUACAUUUUUUUAUACACUUUUUUUACAUUUUGUGUCAAAAGUAAGAUAAUGUUUUGUUCUGUUUUUAACAUUUGAUUUUUCUACUCCACAUUAUGAGUGUGAAGAAGUAUCAUGAGAAUGCUUCAAAUGUUAGCCUUAGCAAAUCUGGCUAACUAGUAACAUUACCACUGAUUGGCUGAAUCUAAAAAGAGCACACUGAGCCAAAGUGCUCAUGUUGUCUUGUGCAAUUAAAAGUCAUUAGGGAGAUGGACGAGAGUCAGACUGUUUCGUAAAGUACCAAAGUGAAAUCCUUUAGAAACAGAGGCACGAGCCUGAGUGCAUCCCUGCGGAUCCCUCUCAACUCAUUGAGAACAAGAAGUUUACACUCCAGAAUUAUAACUGACCUCAUUUUAUGAUGACGUGAUGAGUGCAGAUGCAGUUUCCACUGUUCUGAUUGCAUUUCCAAAUGUAUACUGUGAGAUUCCCUAAAAUGUGAUAAAUGUGAGCUAAAUAGCACAUUGUUUACAUUUUCACAGUUGAAUUGUCUCCCCUAUAUCCUGAUAUUGAUUAUAUCUCCAUAUUCUACACAGAGAUGUGGUGGUGCCUGGAGAAGCGGGUAUACUGUGUACAAUGUGCGCCCCAAUUUUAAAAAGUGGCUGGUCCAAGCAAAUCCUUGUAAAUUUAGUUCAUAACCGAAAGAGCCAGUAGCUGGGCUGUGGUUAGCCGAGCUGCUGAUGGCUUAAAACAUAAUAAAAUGUGGAACCUUUCCAUCGCCACUGUAAAUAUUAUUAUGUCCCGGUCUGGCUGUGAUUGUUUCUGCUCAACAGGUCACCACAUUCUCAGCUAAAAUGGUUUAAGAACAGUCUGAGUGCCUACAGUAUGUGACUAUUAUUUGGUCCUUUAAUCAUGAGAUGUGAAACUUCCCCCAGACUGAACAGACUUCACUGAAGUCACGUGUUAAAUAUAACGUAUGCAGAAAAAAAAAUAUCUUGUUGCCCUUAAAACACGAAGCAUAUUAGCCAUUUUUUGCAUUAAUAUGUCUUAAUAAAUAUAGGGAUCAGAAUUGUAUAGUAUAGAGUGACCUAUUUAUUCAUUUAUUUAUUUAUAUUUUUUAUUUUUAUUCAUUUACUGUAUUAUUUUUUUAUUUAAUUUAACCUAGGCAAUAUGAUUAAUUGAAUUUAACUUCAUUUUAACCAACUAUACAAGCAUGUGUGAGAAAAAGAUUAACCCAAAUAAAUUCAGAUGCACAGUUUGAUGUCUGACUUCUACAUAAGGAGCAGUUUUUUUAUUAUUAUUAUUAUUAUUAUUAUUAUUAUAAUCAAUGACUAAUUCUGUAUUUCUGACACAGAUCCAUGCCACUUAAGUUUUAAGGGUUUUAUUCAAUACCAAAACACAUAAUGAAUGAUAAAAAUAUUUUCUGAUUCCUGGGGAACUCUUCCUGUUAUGUCUUUUCUAGAUCUAUUGAUGGUCUGUGGUUUAUUAGGGAACUACACAGACUGGCAUUCUAAUACUGUAACCUCUCUGCAAACUGCAAAUAUUAUAAAUAUUAAAGAAAUGCAAAACUUUGAACACAAUAGUGUGUUUACUGCAUACCUUACACACAAAUCGCCCACAUGAUCAUCCAUC